UAUAAGUGUAGGGCAAGGGGAGUGGCUCCAGAACCGGAAUUACACUCUUUUGUUAGACCUCAUAAUGAUGUGUGUCAAGGCCUAGUUAUCAACUGACUGCAGCUUCUCACUAACUCAAUGCCUUUUGAAGUAUAGAGCAGAUAAGACCAAAAUUAUACACUGGGAUCAUUUAACAAAUAGAGUGUCAUUCAAGAAACUUGGAGAAGGUGAAAUUCAAUGGGUAAAAUGAGCUAAUUCUCAAGGAGGUUGCCUUUACAUUUAUGAUGCCUACCACAGCAGCUCAUAGAAGUGACUGCAGGGCCUUUCCUUCAACUCUGCUAAAGACCAGUUCCACCAGGCUCCUCUCUGAAUUGCCAUCUACAGCAGCCAUACCAUCACGCUACAGGAGUAGGAGAGAGAUGGGACUGCAGGGACUUUCCAUCAGCUCUGUUGAAAGACUAGCAUCUUUUGGCUCUUCCUUCCAAAUUGUUUCGUUCCAGCUGAUCCAUUACAAGAACUUUGUAAUUAAGAACUUGUGCUGAGCUUUUUUUUUCCUUCCCCCCAAUCCCUUUUCCUUUUGUGUCAUACCUUUUAGGUUGUAAGCCUGAGGGGACAGACUGUGAACUACUCUGGAAGGUUUUUUGACAGAAGAGUGAGAUUAAAAUGUUUUAAAUAAAUAAAUGCUCUCUGUAAGAACUGGCCCUUUCCUCUUGUUAAUUGUUUGCACUGCCUUUUGCGAGACCAUAGUGGUCCAAAAGAAAGCUGCUAUGAUUAAAUAAAUCACAUGGUAAAUAUAUACUGUCCCAACCUUCACAUGGAGGUGCCAGUUCUCACAGACAGCACCUUUAUAUGGGUGGUGCUGAACCACAAGCCCAGCAGCCAUGUUCAUGCAUUCCCGUGGCACUCAUGUGAGGGCUACCACAAGUGUGAAUUGGGCCAUAGAUUCAAUGUGGAGCCGUGGGAAAAUCACUUUCUCUUAACCUCUUUUCCCAUCUGUAAAUAAUCUGUCUACCUCACAGGGCUGUAGUGAGGUUAAAUGUACUAAAGAUUUACAGCUAAUUAGAAAAAGUGCCAGAUAAAUAAGUAGUUGACAUAGUACUCAAUUUGCUAAAGGGCUGGUGUUUAAUCAGGCAGAAUAUAAAAAGGUACCUAUUAUGCAGCAAUAAGGAAAGUGAAUUUGGUUAUCACUGCAAAUAUUUCCAGGCACUUCAGACAGAUUGUAGACUAAUCACAAAAUGUGCAAUCCUGUGGGGAAUAAAACUCUUAAUUAUGUGCUUAAAUCCCAUUGCGGACUGAGGCAUCCUUAGCAUUCUCAAGGAUGGACAAGAAGGUUUAGCACUCUUUACACAUUGUGCACACUGACGAGCGUUGUGGGAUAUAAUCAAAACUCUGUUGUAAUGACCCAACAAUCCAAGACCAAGAUCACUAUUCAGCCUGUCAUUUAGUGCUACAAGAAUGAACCUUGGCAAGCCUUGAGCUCACAUGCUUCCCCCUUCCCCAUCCGUUGGCACAGCUUCAGUUCCUUUCUUUUUCAACUAACCACCAUUUGUCAUUUUUAGUUUUAACUAUGGUUUAUCCAAACAAGUCAAGAACAUAAACCAGGGAUGGCUAGUCCUUUUUGUUGUGCAAGGGCUGGACUCUGGAGACACACCCCACUCCUCAGUUGAUCCAUGCAGAUCAGCUAAGGAGGGGGAUAAUAGCCCCUUGCUUGCUCAUCAAAUAUUCAAUUCAAUGACUGGGGUGCAGUUUGUAUCUCCUACAGGGCAUUGGUCUCCACUCACCCUAGCACUGUCUACUUUAUUUUUUCUCUCCUUUUUGCCAGUGCCACCAAUAUCAAUGGGAUCAUGGAGGGCCAGAAUAAUUUGAUUGGGAGGCAUAUAAGCCCCCAAACUGGGGCAAGCUAUCCCUGACAUAAACCAUUGUUUGAAGCUGGCUUGUUCAGACAAACCAUAGUUAACAUUAAUCAGAGUUUGUCUCAGUUCAACAUAACAACUAUGAAGCAAAUUUAAAGCAGAAACAAAUGCUUUCAAUCUCCUCCUCAUGGCUAUGUCAGAGGUGAAGAGGAGGUAGUGUGAGACUGAUCCCAAGGCUCAUUACAGUAGCACUACACUAUGGUUUAGCAUUACAUUCAAACAAAGCCAGGGUAUCCUUUGUGUACCAUAUGGCUGAGAAUGUUAAUUCCCGGCUAUAUAUUUUUAUAGCAUUCAGAUUUCCUUUUGGAAUAUAGACUAUUGGAUCAGAGAGGGAGCAGUCUGCACAAGUGAGAAACUGUUUUUUCCACAAUCAUUUCUCAAUGUGAGUUCAACUAUUUUUGAACCAGUGAGUGAUCAUGAACAGUCAUAACUACUGUUUAAUUAUAAUACUUAGGUGGCAAUUCUGUUUACACUCAUCUACGAAAAAGGCCCAUUGAAUAAAAGUAGACGUGCAUAGGACUGCAUUGUUAGUAUUUAUACAGAACUUUAAUAGGGAAAUUCUGACAGGAAUAGCUCUACCGUUAGGCAGAGUGAGACAACCACCUCAGAUGGCAGAUGCUGUGUGGCAGGAUUGCCAUCUUUUGCAGGGCAGAGAUGUGUGUGCCACACAGUCUGUCCUGUACCCCCUCAACUGCCCUGCUGCUCUGGGGGAUGUUAUCCCAUUGUAAAUGUUGAUUCAACUGCUAGCCUAGUUGGCUUCUGUGUGUGGAAUCAGUGGGAGGGCAUCUUCUUCUUUGCCUCAGGCAGCAAAAUGUUUUUGGGUUGGCGCUGAAUCCUGGGCAUGGUUACGGUCACAUCCCUACCAUACAUUUAAAGUACAUGGCUUCUCCCAAAGAAUCCUGGGAACAACACUUUGUUAAGGGUGGUGGGAAUGGUAGCUCCAUGAAGGUUAAACUACAGUUCCAAGGAUUCUUUGGGGGAAGCCAAGACUGUUAAAGUGGUAUAAAUGUGCUUUAAAUGUAUGGUGUGGAUGUGACCUAAGUUCCAUUGUGUUCAAUGGGGCUUCCUCCCAAAUAGGAAUGUUUAGGAUUGCAGCCUGAAGUGCUCAAAGUAUUCCCAAUAUAAACCACAUUAAAGUGUUCAAAAGAAUGUGUGAGGGCUUGCAGUGAGAAGAACCCCAAAUCUUUCCAUGUUGAGCAGGAAGGCCUGAAAGGAGGUUUGUAAGCAUAUCAUGCCCAUAAGUCUCCCUGUGAUCAGGAGCCUUACCUGAUCGUAAGAAGGCUAGCAAACAUGUUCAACUAAACAAGCUCCCUUCAGACCUUCUGGGGAGGUCAGGAGUGGUGCCAGUGCACCUGCCAUGGACAGGGACAUUCGGGGUGGAGCAGCAUGCAUGUACCAGCUCCCCAUCCCCAGUCUGAGCUCCCACACAUUCUUUUGAAUUAUUGAGUGGGGCUAUAGUUUCCCAAUUAUCUUACAACAAAACUAUGGCCACAUUCACACCAUACUUUUAUUCCACUGUAACCCCACUUUGAACAGUCAUGGCUUCUCACAAAGACUCCUGAGAAGAGUAGUUUGUGAAGGAUGCUGAGAGUUGUUUGGGGACCCCUGUUCCCCUCACAGAGCUACACAGAGUGGUUUAACAGUCAGUCUCUCUUCCCAGAGAACUCUGGGAAUUGUAGCUCUGUGAGGGGAAAGCUUUUGUGGCGGGAGAGGCUUUUUUGUGCCAGGUUUCCUCGGGCUCCAAAAUUUCUACAAAGAGCAUCAUUUUUCUUUACAUGUCUUCAAUAAGCCAGUGUGGCUUUUAUCUCCAACAAAUUACCUGGAUCUAUAUUUAACAUGUUAUUUAUCAUCUCUUGUCACAGAGCUUCUAGGACAACCUUUUUCUUUCCAGUCCAAACUCUAUUUUCACUCAUUCUGCAGCUGGAACACCAAUGGAGGUCACAAAAACUGCCUUUGCAUCUCUUCCCUGUGCAGAUUGCAGGAUCCAAGGAAGUCCCCAGAUGGAAAAAGUGGAGAUCCUAGUUGAAAGGCAUUUACAUAGGCACUUUCUGCUGCCUUGCCAUUGAUGUUUCCUGUGCUGAUUUGUUGAUAUUUCUGUGCAGUGUGGGUCACUGCAAUGUCACAGCUUACUGGCAACUACAUCCUGUCUGCUGAAUAGAAUGCGGAUAUAUUUGGUUUGGGGUAAAGGGGGAGGUCAGGUUAAAAGUUUGGCAAGCAGACUAAUAUGCCAUAUUUCCUCUAUGGGCCACUGAAAUUCUGCCUUGAGAACUCCUACACAGCUCCUUUCUCCGCCAAGCUCCCUGCUGCUGGUUUCUGGCCAUACACUCCCAUCUCCUAUGUAACUUUGCUGUUUCCUAGGAGAUGGCAUGCUGCUAACCCCACACCUCAUCUCCGAUGCCCGUGUGACAUCACCGGGUCAACACAGCCAUAAAACACUACAACUAAGGCACUGGAGUUAUGGCUUGACUCACUGCAAUAUUAGCAAAUCCUAAAGGACAUGUGAACCAGAGGAUGGACUGCAAGGUUUGCUUUUUCAUUAGAGUUGUUUUGAUGAGAACUAGACAUAGUGUCAUUGAAUGCAGACAUAAUAUACAGAGAGAGAGAGAGAGAGAGAGAGAGAGAGUCCAGAAGAUGUAGCAGUACAGGGAUCCGUACAGGGCAAGGAGAGAAAUGAAUUGCUUCAAGAAUGAAACAGGGUUGUUUGUGACACAAGCUGACCUUUUAGUUGCACCGUAGCACCAAAUGAGUCCUGAAGAUAUGUCAUCCUGUAGCUUCGGUUUCAAGACUAAACUCAACACAGAAAGUUCUGGAGCAAAUCACAGCACUAACAACUCAGUCCUUUCUGCAUGUUUCUCCUCAUAAAAGGAGAGAGGAUCCUCCAAUGAAAAGGUCCUAUCCUUCUGGAUCAACAACACUAUAAGAGCUUAGCUCCCAUACAGAAAGAAGGCAUUAUAUCUACCUCAGCUGACAUAUUUGCUGUUACUACAAAUAUUCCGUAAAUAAACCUUACAACUGGAAGUUC